CAGGUAAGACGAUAGGGUUUAUAUAAUCUGACGUACAGGGACAACAUAACCAGCUCCAUUAUCACUGCAGCUUGCAUAAAACAUUAAAAUUGUCUUACUAUACAACGCGAAAAUGAAGACCGCACUCGUGCUGCUCUUGGUAUUUACGGUUGUUGCUGCUAGUCACGCCGGUGGUUAUGACGAAAAUGUCGUCCUGAAUGUUAUCAAACGCGCGAUAAACAACCACCGGAUGAGAAGGGAAUAUUAUGGCCCAUUUUGUCCACCAUGUUGUCCACCUUACUGUCGUAAGAUCUCCGAGAACUCAAACUUGAAAGAUGCGUCCGUCCAAAAGAUUGUCGAACGCAGCGUGCUGCAGACAAGGAAGUAGAUGCGCAUUUACAAAGGUGUCCGUUAGAUAUCUGUAGAGACCACUUGGAAAACAACCAUUGGAGAAACAAUGAAGUAAAGACAGAUACAUUCAUUACUAUUUGACACUGCUUUUAAUUCAUGGAUUACAUCAAUACUUUUCAGUUUCGAUCUAUUGAAUGUAAUAAAUAAAUUCAGACUUCAAAUCGCCUUUAAUAAAGUUGGAUGUUGAUAUCGA